UACGGAGGGGGCUAGCGUUGUUCGGAAUUACUGGGCGUAAAGGGCGCGUAGGCGGCGCGAUGAGUUGGGCGUGAAAGGCCCGGGCUCAACCCGGGGACUGCGCUUGAUACUGUCGCGCUGUGAGUCCGGGAGAGGAUGGCGGAAUUCCCAGUGUAGAGGUGAAAUUCGUAGAUAUUGGGAAGAACACCGGUGGCGAAGGCGGCCAUCUGGACCGGCACUGACGCUGAGGCGCGAAAGCGUGGGGAGCAAACAGG
rnacentral:rRNA from 1 species